CAGAGGCUGCGCAGGCUGCGCGGCGGAGAGUAGAGAGCUAGACGGUGAGAAGCGCUGGGCCCGACUAGAACUGUCUUCGCUUUUCCCUCUGCGGCUGCUCUGGCUGGUUACUUUGAGCCUUCCUCCUCAGCGCCGCAGGAGAAACUCAACAGCAAAAAUGACUGUGUCCUGAGUUCAGCCCCCACUGCUCUGGGAGCUUCCCCCUGGUUUCUGCACCUGAAGAAUGUCUUCCCAGCCGAAGGUUCUUAGGAGCGGGGAGCGACAAAGAAAAACAAAGAAAAGCAGACCUGAAAAUUGGGACGUGGGAGAAAUGGGAACUCAGACCAAAAACAGGAAUCAUCCUUGCUAAUUAGUGCUGAGUGGAUCAGGGACUAACCAGAAUCAGGCAACAAGAAAAUAGACGAGUGCUCUAAACCAGUAUCAUGGCUCCAGUUCCUGACAAGGAUUCACAUGGGGUUGCCAUUCUGACUGUGCUGGUGACGCUGGUUCCAGGACCCUCAGGAACCCCUCCCCCAGUCUGGUCUGCCCUUGAACUCUGUACUGGCCCCGGGGUAUCCCAGGAUUGUCAGAAAGGCCUGGCCAGGAUUCACCUGGGAGAGGGAUCAGCAUCUCUGCAAAGUUGUUGGAUUGAAAGAACUUUCAUUUUGAGCUACAUCAUUGAAGAGCUUUAAAUCUGAAAAUAAGAAAGACGUUGAACCCUAUUACUCACAUCUCUUUGUCAUUUGAAGCAGAUCCCGAACCACUCAAAAGGACAAAACAAGGAAAUAAUAAUGAAAUUGGAUUCAGUGAAUGGGGUAAGGGUAUUAAGUGUCUGAAAUAUAAGAGAUAAAAAAA
rnacentral:antisense_RNA from 1 species